rnacentral:tRNA from 1 species
UGAAAAAUAAGCUAAAUUUAUAGCUGGUGGGUUCAUACCCCGCAAAUGAGUAACGCUCUUUUUCAG